UGGGGAAUAUUGCGCAAUGGGGGAAACCCUGACGCAGCGACGCCGCGUGCGGGAUGAAGGCCUUCGGGUUGUAAACCGCUUUUGAUUGGGAGCAAGCUUUCGGGUGAGUGUACCUUUCGAAUAAGCGCCGGCUAACUACGUGCCAGCAGCCGCGGUAAUACGUAGGUGGCAAGCGUUGUCCGGAUUUAUUGGGCGUAAAGCGAGCGCAGGCGGUCAAUUAAGUCUGAUGUGAAAGCCCCCGGCUCAACCGGGGAGGGUCAUUGGAAACUGGUUGACUUGAGUGCAGAAGAGGGGAGUGGAAUUCCAUGUGUAGCGGUGAAAUGCGUAGAUAUAUGGAGGAACACCGGUGGCGAAAGCGGCUCUCUGGUCUGUAACUGACGCUGAGGCUCGAAAGCGUGGGGAGCGAACAGG
rnacentral:rRNA from 1 species